AUACGUAGGUGGCAAGCGUUGUCCGGAUUUAUUGGGCGUAAAGCGAGCGCAGGCGGUUUUUUAAGUCUGCUGUGAAAGCCUUCGGCUUAACCGAAGAAGGGCAUCGGAAACUGGGAGACUUGAGUGCAGAAGAGGAGAGUGGAACUCCAUGUGUAGCGGUGAAAUGCGUAGAUAUAUGGAAGAACACCAGUGGCGAAGGCGGCUCUCUGGUCUGUAACUGACGCUGAGGCUCGAAAGGCGUGGGUAGC
rnacentral:rRNA from 1 species